rnacentral:rRNA from 1 species
CCCGUUGAGGGCAGCUUUUCCAUGGUGUAAGGAGCCGUGGGAAUAAGGAGAGGGCAAGUCUGGUGUCAGCCGCCGCGGUAAUACCAGCUCUCCGAGUGGUGGGGAUAAUUAUUGGGCUUAAAGCGUUCGUAGCCGGCUUGACAAGUCUUUCGUUAAAUUCAACGAUUUAAUCGUUGGUGUGCGGGAGAUACUGUUAGGCUAGGAGGCGGGAGAAGCCGACGGUAUUCUCGGGGUAGGGGUGAAAUCCUGUAAUCCCGGGAGGACCACCAGUGGCGAAGGCGGUCGG